AGUGAACGCUGGCGGUAGGCCUAACACAUGCAAGUCGAACGGCAGCACAGUAAGAGCUUGCUCUUACGGGUGGCGAGUGGCGGACGGGUGAGGAAUACAUCGGAAUCUACUUUUUCGUGGGGGAUAACGUAGGGAAACUUACGCUAAUACCGCAUACGACCUACGGGUGAAAGCAGGGGAUCUUCGGACCUUGCGCGAUUGAAUGAGCCGAUGUCGGAUUAGCUAGUUGGCGGGGUAAAGGCCAACCAAGGCGACGAUCGGUAGCUGGUCUGAGAGGAUGAUCAGCCACACUGGAACGGGGACACGGUCCAGACUCCUACGGGAGGCAGCAGUGGGGAAUAUUGGACAAUGGGCGCAAGCCUGAUCCAGCCAUACCGCGUGGGUGAAGAAGGCCUUCGGGUUGUAAAGCCCUUUUGUUGGGAAAGAAAAGCAGCAGGUUAAUACCCCGCUGUUCUGACGGUACCCAAAGAAUAAGCACCGGCUAACUUCGUG
rnacentral:rRNA from 1 species